GACGAACGCUGGCGGCGUGCCUAAUACAUGCAAGUUGAGCGCUGAAUUUUUGUACUUUUACCAACUGGAUGAUCAGCGAACGGGUGAUUAACUCGUGGUCAAUCUGCCUUUUAGCGGGGGACAACAUUUGGAAACGAAUUCUAAUACCGCAUAAUAACUUUAAACAUAAUUUUUAAGUUUUAAAUAUGCAAUUUCAUCACUUAAAGAUCAUCCCGCGUUUUAUUAGCUAGUUUGUGAGGUAAAGGCUCACCAAGGCCAUGAUACAUAACAGCCCUGAGAGGGUGAUAUGCCAAAAUGGGAAUGAGACACGGCCAAAAAUACUACGGGAGGGAGCAGUAGGGAAUCUUCGGGAAAGGAAGAAAGUGUGACCGGGGGACGACGGGUGAGUGAAGAAGGUAUUAGGAUCGUAAAACUCAGUUGGUAGAGAAGAACGUUAGUGAGAGUGGAAAGCUCAGCAAGUGACGGUAACUACACAGAAAGGGACGGCUAACUACGUG
rnacentral:rRNA from 1 species